rnacentral:rRNA from 1 species
AAUAUUGGACAAUGGGCGAAAGCCUGAUCCAGCCAUGCCGCGUGUGUGAAGAAGGNCUNNGGAUUNUNAAGCCCUUAAAGUCGNNNNNGAGGGUUGUAGGUUAAUACCCUCAAAUUUUGACUUUCCCAACAGAAUAACCCCCGGCUACCUCCGUCCCAUCAGCCGCGGUAAUACGAAGGGUGCAAGCGUUAAUCGGAAUUACUGGGCGUAAAGCGCGCGUAGGUGGUUCGUUAAGUUGGAAGUGAAAGCCCCGGGCUUAACCUGGGAAUUGCUUUCAAAACUGACGAGCUAGAGUACGGUAGAGGGUAGUGGAAUUUCCUGUGUAGCGGUGAAAUGCGUAGAUAUAGGAAGGAACAUCAGUGGCGAAGGCGACUACCUGGACUGAUACUGACACUGAGGUGCGAAAGCGUGGGGAGCAAACA